AGAGAGAGAGAGAGAGGGCAGCCACUCUGGUGCACUCUGGUGGUUCUUGCAACGGCGUCACUGUUGCUUGGUCUCCAACAGUCCAACUGUGGCAUUGUGGCUCAUACAAGAAUCGGCGAAACACUGCAAACUACUCUAAUCCCAGUGGAUUUAUUUAAAUGGACACAGCCGGAUUUACUUUUCAAAAACUUUUUUUUGCUUUUUGUUAAUGUUUCCUGGAUUCAUGAAGGGGCUGUCACUCCGUGAACUAAUAUUGUUUCAGCUUCGUGGACAGUUUGGAUACAUCUUUUAGGAGAACAUGUUGUUGUUGCCUAUACCAGAAGAACUUCCGCUAACAAUCAUGUCUUGGUCAUCACGUCUGGAAAUAUGGAAAGCCACUACAGCCGUUUGAAGCAGUAACUGAAAAGUCUUUCUAACUAUUAUAUAGUGAGCAGAUUUAUGAUGCUUGUAAGAAGUGCAGAUUCUUCACUUUUGUUAACUUUGACGUGAAAAACACAUCUUUAGCUUAUUAUAAUGGAUGGCAACCUGAGCACUUCAGCAUCCUAUGUGUUCAACAGAACAGAGCCGUACCAUGAUGCGGCAGGACCCUGGAGCCUCAUCAUACUGGUCAUCAUCAUAUUGACUAUAGUGGUUGGAAACCUGCUGGUCAUCAUCGCUGUAGCUUGUACUUCACAGCUACAGACGACCACAAACAUUUUCAUUAUGUCCCUGGCGUGCGCAGACCUCAUUAUGGGGGUCCUCGUGGUGCCUCUGGGGGCCACCAUUGUGGUGACGGGUAACUGGCAGCUCAGUGAAAUGUUCUGUGAGUUCUGGACUUCUGUAGAUGUCCUGUGUGUGACGGCGAGCAUCGAGACGCUCUGCAUCAUCGCAGUGGAUCGGUAUAUAGCCAUAACGAGGCCGCUCCGAUACAAAGUUCUACUCAACAAGUUGCGUGCCAGGGUAAUAGUUUGCUUAGUGUGGGUAGUGUCCGCUUUAAUUUCCUUUGUACCAAUUAUGAAAGGGUAUUGGCGAGAUAAUGACGAUGAAGCAGCGAAGGAAUGCUACGAUACCCCUACAUGCUGUGACUUUGUGACCAACAGGGCCUUUGCUAUUACAUCUUCUAUAGUGUCUUUUUACAUCCCGCUGCUCAUAAUGAUAUUUGUGUAUGCAAAAGUAUUUUUAAUAGCCACACGGCAGGUUAAGCUCAUAGAUAGGAAUCGCAUGCGUUUCCAGAAGGAGUGCUCAACAGCACAGGUGCAAGUUGACCCCUACAGCAACAAUAUCCUGCAAACAGCGUGUGCAGGCUCUAGCGGCUCUAGUGGCUGCAGCGGCGCAGUGCGGAGAAAGAGCGCCAAGCGGAGGCCGUCACGGCUAAUGCUCGUCAAAGAGCACAAGGCCCUGAAGACUUUGGGGAUCAUCAUGGGGACCUUCACUGUGUGCUGGCUGCCGUUCUUUGUCGCCAACAUCAUCAAUGCAUUUGUAAGAGACAUUCCUUCAGAGAGGAUCUUUCGACUUUUAAACUGGUUGGGUUACAUCAACUCCGGCCUCAAUCCUAUCAUCUACUGCAGAAGUCCAGAGUUUCGUACUGCGUUCAAGAACCUGCUGGGGUGUCCGUGGCUGUCCACCCUGCGGCCCAAUACCUUUUAUAAAGAGCUGCGGACUCGCUGCUCCUGCUUUCUAUGGCAGGCUGAGUCAGGCACAGCCAGCUCUUUCCAAAAGUCUCCAACCAGUAGGCCUGAGGGCAGUGAGAGUCUGGCCAGUACUCAUGGAAGCAACAAAAGUGAGGAGGCUUCCCUUGGUCCACUGCAGUCCAACGGCAGCACACAGUUCAGUGACUUAUCAGAGUCAGAAACCAAAUUUGUGCCCUGCCCAACACUCCCUGCAGCAGAUAAAUCUUUAUCAUCUACGCACAAGACUUCCCCCAUAGCUGACAUAAUCAAUGAGGCUGUAAAACGGGACACAUUUAGGAGCAUAUAAAAGUCUUCCUUAAAAGGAGCCUGGUGUGAUCUGUAGUAAAUCACCCCAAGGGGAAGGCUCAGCGGACUCACCCUGCGCCUUGAACAGGAUUACUAACGUAAGUGAGACCAGCCGUUGGAGAAUGACUCUGGCGGGGGCCGAAGACAUCUUUAAUGGAGAAAUAUAUGACAAGCGCUUCCAGGUAGAGUCUGGACUGCUGAAGUGGGCCCAUUUAAAAACAGGAAAUACAUGUCACAGAUGAUGGAUUUUCCUCAACUUCGAUUAAUUUAGUUCCUUUUCCUUGAAUGGAGACUCCGAACUAUCUUCACAUUGCAGGAAAAGGAUGGAUGAACUGUUAAAUGUCAAACUACUGAAGCGGCCGUUGCUGUGAGUCCCUGCAAAGGCUGAGACCAAACAGAAGCGAGGACAAGCCGAAGAAAAGUGCGACCACCGACCCUGAUGAAUGUUGCUGAAUCAAGCGAACCCUAAAGAAAUUACUGGAUUGACUGUAGAGAGAACAGCUGAUUUGGUCUGGACAGGAGCACCGUGACAGGAAACUGGUUUUCUGCAGAUCAGCAUUUCACAGACAAUAUGUGACUGCAAAGUAUCCUGAAUAAAACAAUGCAGUUUUAAAUGCAUUCCACGCACUGAAUCUGAAAUACAUAAGUUAUCUAACUCAAUACAAGGUCAUGGUUCUGGCACGGCUGUCUUCACUGUCAAGGCACACACGUGUCAGUGAGAUAAAACAAAGGGAUGUGCAUUCAAAUAUUUAAUUCUGCUGUCUGUUUUCAGUCCUAAUCUUUCUGUUUUGAGCCUGAUCUCCAAACAAUAGUUAUCUUGCUUAAAUCCCGUCGUCUAAGUUAUACCAUGGCUAAGGAAAAUGUUCAUUUCUGAUUGGCUGGCUGUUAAAAUCUUAAUUUAACCAUCAGUAUAAAUUGCUCAAGGUAUAGUUUUACAAACUGUAGGUAAUGAUAAGAAAGCACUUCUGCUACAUGCUAUGUCACCAGUAAACUCCUAUGGUAUAAGCUCAAUAACACACUCUGAAACAUCACCUCCACAUAAUCCAUUGUUUUGUUAUAUCGGGGCAACUUCAUCUGCAUCAUGUGUUGCAUUGAGAAAUAAAACAUUAUGAAACUGUG